GAUGAACGCUAGCGGCAGGCCUAAUACAUGCAAGUCGGACGGGAUUUGGGAGCUUGCUCCUAAUGAGAGUGGCGCACGGGUGCGUAACACGUAUGUAACCUACCUUAAUCAGGGGGAUAGCCUCUCGAAAGAGAGAUUAACACCGCAUAAUAUAUUUUUAUGGCAUCGUAGAAAUAUCAAAUAUUUAUAGGAUUAAGAUGGGCAUGCGGAACAUUAGCUAGUUGGUAAGGUAACGGCUUACCAAGGCUACGAUGUGUAGGGGAUCUGAGAGGAGGACCACCCACACGGGGACUGAGACACUGACCAGAAUCCUACGGGAGGCAGCAGUAAGCAAUAGUGGCCAAGGUGCGCAAGCCUGAACAAGCCAUGCCGAGUGCAGGAAGACGGCCCUAUGGGUUGUAAACUGCUUUUGUACCGGAAUAAACCCUUUUACGUGUAAGAGGCUGAAUGUACGGUAAGAAUAAGGAUCGGCUAACUCCGUGCCAGCAGCCGCAGUAA
rnacentral:rRNA from 1 species